AUUGAACGCUGGCGGCAGGCCUAACACAUGCAAGUCGAGCGAGGGGAGGAGGGGUGAAAAAUGUGGGGGAAUCUGCCCGAAAGAGGGGGAUAACUAGUGGAAACGGGGGCUAAUACCGCAUACUAUCGGAAGACCGCAUAUGGGAGUAGCUAGUGGGGGGGGUAAAGGCUCAACUAGGCGACGAUCUCUCGGUGGUGGGAGAGGAUGCUCAGCCGCACUGGGACUGAGACACGGCCCAGACUCCUACGGGAGGCAGCAGUGGGGAAUAGUGCACAAUGGGCGCAAGCCGUAUGCAGCCAUGCCGCGUGUAUGAAGAAGGCCUUAGGGUUGUAAAGUACUUUCAGCGGGGAGGCGUUACCCGCAGAAGAAGCACCGGCUAACUCCGUGCCAGCAGCCGCGGUAAUAC
rnacentral:rRNA from 1 species